rnacentral:rRNA from 1 species
UACGUAGGGGUGCAAGCGUUGUCCGGAAUUAUUGGGCGUAAAGCGUGCGCAGGCGGUGAUGUAAGACAGAUGUGAAAUCCCCGGGCUCAACCUGGGAACUGCAUUUGUGACUGCAUCGCUGGAGUGCGGCAGAGGGGGAUGGAAUUCCGCGUGUAGCAGUGAAAUGCGUAGAUAUGCGGAGGAACACCGAUGGCGAAGGCAAUCCCCUGGGCCUGCACUGACGCUCAUGCACGAAAGCGUGGGGAGCAAACAGG